GGGCUCAUAACCCGGAGGUCGCAAGUUCGAGUCUUGCCCCCGCAACCA
rnacentral:tRNA from 1 species